GACGGGGGAGGCAAGCGUUAUCCGGAGUCACUGGGCGUGAAGCGUCUGUAGGUGGUGAUGCAAGUCACUGGUGCAAAACUCUGGCUCAACCGGAGGAAAGCCAGUGAAACUGCAUGACUAGAGUGUGGGAGAGGUAGAAGGAAUUCCCUGAGUAGCGGUGAAAUGCGUAGAUACAGGGAAGAACACCGGAGGCGAAAGCGUUCUACUGGAACACAACUGACACUGAGAGACGAAAGCUAGGGGAGCGAAUGGG
rnacentral:rRNA from 1 species